AGCACGUAGGUGGGUUUGUAAGUCAGAUGUGAAAGCCUUCUGUCCAACGGAAGAAUUGCAUCUGAAACUACGAGUCUUGAGUAUAGGAGGGGAGAAUGGAACUUCUGGUGGAGCGGUGAAAUGCGUAGAUAUCAGAAGGAACGCCGGCGGCGAAAGCGAUUCUCUGGCCUAUUACUGACACUCAGUGCGCGAAAGCUAGGGGAGCAAACGGGAUUAGAUACCCCGGUAGUCCUAGCCGUAAGCGAUGGGCACUAAGUAGAGGGGUUUU
rnacentral:rRNA from 1 species